rnacentral:ncRNA from 2 species
GCGGCCGUCCGCAGUCCGGGUGCCUGGGGGCCGAGCCGCAAGAGGAGGCCGCUCAGGUUAAAAGGGAAGCCGGUGUGAAUCCGGCACGGUCCCGCCACUGUCAUCGGGGUAAGCUCCAUACAGCCACUGCGCGCCGGAAGGCGUGCGGGAAGGCGGAGCGCCGCCGGUCCGUAUUCUUCGGCCGGCCCCGUAAGUCAGGAAACCUGCCCGGACCUUGGCGUUGUC